rnacentral:rRNA from 1 species
AAGGAACGUGGAAGACGACGACGUUGAUAGGCCGGGUGUGUAAGCGCAGCGAUGCGUUGAGCUAACCGGUACUAAUGAACCGUGAGGCUUAACCUUACAACGCCGAAG